CGAACUGGCGCAGCUGAUGCAGCCUGCCGCGUGAGUGAUGAAGGCCUUAGGGUUGUAAAGCUCUUUUACCCGGGAAGAUAAUGACGGUACCGGGAGAAUAAGCCCCGGCUAACUCCGUGCCAGCAGCCGCGGUAAUAUAAUA
rnacentral:rRNA from 1 species